CAAGCCCGGAGUGUCCCCGGCUCCGCCCACUCGCGUCUCCGCCCGGACCUGCGACGGUCCCGCCCCCUUGACGGGGCCGCGCGGGCGAGUUCCAUGCCUGUCCAGCGCUGAGAGCUGCCGGCCAACUUCGCGGUCUCCACGUCGCGCUUAACGUGGCAGCAGCACGCACUUCCAGCAUCUUUUUUUAGACAGCAUCUUUUUCAGCCUCGCUCUGUCGCCGAGGCUGGAGGGCAGUGGCGCGAUCUAGGCUCACUGCAGCCUUGACCUCCCGGGUUCAAGCGAUCCUCCUGCCUCAGCCUCCGGAGUAGCUGGGACCACAGGCGCGCGCCGCCACGCCCGGCUGGUUUGUUACUUUUAUUUUUGUCUCCCUAUUUUGCCCAGGCUAGUCUGGAACUCCUGGGCUCAAGCGAUCCGCCCACCUCGGUCUUCGAAAGUGCUGGGAUUCCAGGCGUGAGCCGCCGCGCCGGCCUUAACAGCGCAUUUUCACCAGCCCCGCCCCGGCCGCGCGCGGCACUGGAAACCCCAGCGCCUUCUGGACGGCGAGGGUGACGCACUGGCCCUCUUCCUCGGUGUCCUCAGGUGCGUGGCGGCGGCAGUGAGAAUGAGUUCUUCGAGAUCGCCGGGAGACCACACAAUAACGACGAAGUUACUUGCCGGGCUACCCGCCGAGACUUGAAAACUUCGCGGCGACUUCUCUCGCCGGCCUUAGCAUCGCCCCCAUUUUUCAGGCCCCCACUGGUCGCGUCCGGCGCUGGAGGAGCCCAGUCAGCCGGCGCCUGCCGGGUUAGCACGUGGACUCCGAGGGGCCAACUAUCAGCUUUCCCUGACAAAAUGCCUUUGAGCUCCCCCACAGCUCUGAAACUCCAGCUUGGGAGCAGGGAGAGUGCAAUCUGUGACCUGUAAAGGGGCGCUGGGCAAAAGGGCCCGAGAGAAGGCGUCCUUUCCAUUCCCUUCCCAUCUCAAGCUGAGUUCAGAAAUGACACGAAAUAAUUUAAUCAACUAUCAGUCAAGGUCGGGCUCACGCCUGUAAUCCCAGCAGUUUGGGAGGCCGAGGUGGGCGGAUCACCUGAGGACAGGAGUUCGAGACCAGCCUGACCAACAUGACGAAGCCCCGUCUCUACUAAAAAUACAAAAAUUAGCCAGCGGUGGUGGUGCGCACCUGUAGUCUCAGCUACUUGGGAGGCUGAGGCCAGAGAAUCGCUUGAGCCCGCGAGGUCGAGGCUGCAGUGAGCCGAGAUCACACCACUGCACUCCAACCUGGAUGACAGAGGGAGACUCUGUCUCAAAAAAUAAUAAAUAAAUAAAUAAAUAAAUAAACUAUCGGUCAAGGUGAAAGCCUACUCUCCGCCAAGGUUCUUUACAACUUAGACGUUUUGGUUUACGGAACAGGGGAGGAAACUGAGGGCUCUUGUGUGUAGUGACUUUACUCGUGUGGAGGAGAACCCAGACUUUCCCUGCACACACUCUCCCGUUUUAUGGAUGAGAAAAGGGGGGCCCCAAAGGUCAAAUCGCCCCAAGGUCACUCAAAUGAAA
rnacentral:lncRNA from 10 species